CAAGUCGAACGCGACUGAGGGCUUCGGCUCUCAGUUGAGUGGCAAACGGGUGAGUAACACGUGGGUGACCUACCUUCGAAUGGGGGAUAACGUCCCGAAAGGGACGCUAAUACCGCAUAACAUCCUGCCUUUGAACAGGUGGAGAUCAAAGCCGGGGAUCGUAAGACCUGGCGUUUGAAGAGGGGCCCGCGUCCGAUUAGCUAGUUGGUGGGGUAACGGCUCACCAAGGCGACGAUCGGUAGCCGGCCUGAGAGGGCGGACGGCCACACUGGGACUGAGAAACGGCCCAGACUCCUACGGGAGGCAGCAGUGGGGAAUUGUUCGCAAUGGGCGCAAGCCUGACGACGCAACGCCGCGUGGAGGAUGAAGGUCUUCGGAUUGUAAACUCCUGUUGCCCGGGACGAAACGCUCCGACCUAACACGUCGGAGUCUGACGGUACCGGGUGAGGAAGCCCCGGCUAACUCUGUGCCAGCAGCCGCGGUAAUACAGAGGGGGCGAGCGUUGUUCGGAAUUACUGGGCGUAAAGGGCGCGUAGGUGGCCUGUUAAGUCGAACGUGAAAUCCCCGGGCUCAACCCGGGAACUGCGUCCGAGACUGGCAGGCUCGAAUCCGGGAGAGGGAUGUGGAAUUCCAGGUGUAGCGGUGAAAUGCGUAGAUAUCUGGAGGAACACCGGUGGCGAAGGCGGCAUCCUGGACCGGUAUUGACGCUGAGGCGCGAAAGCCAGGGGAGCAAACGGGAUUAGAUACCCCGGUAGUCCUGGCCCUAAACGAUGAAUGCUUGGUGUGGCGGGUAUCGAUCCCUGCCGUGCC
rnacentral:rRNA from 1 species